rnacentral:rRNA from 1 species
GCCAGCCCGCUCAGAAACUUAAAGGAAUUGACGGGGCCCGCACAAGCGGAGGAGCAUGUGGUUUAAUUCGAUGAUACGCGAGGAACCUUACCUGGGCUCGAACGUAAGAUGACUGUAGGUGAAAGCUUACAUCUCUUCGGAGCAUUUUACGAGGUGCUGCAUGGUUGUCGUCAGCUCGUGCCGUGAGGUGUCGGGUUAAGUCCCAUAACGAGCGCAACCCCUACCUUUAGUUGCCAUCAGGUUAAGCUGGGGACUCUAAAGGAACUGCCUACGCAAGUAGUGAGGAAGGCGGGGAUGACGUCAAAUCAGCACGGCCCUUACGUCCAGGGCUACACACGUGCUACAAUGGCCGAUACAGAGGGCAGCUACCUGGUGACAGGAUGCAAAUCUCCAAAGUCGGUCUCAGUUCGGAUCGGAGUCUGCAACCCGACUCCGUGAAGUUGGAUUCGCUAGUAAUCGCGCAUCAGCCAUGGCGCGGUGAAUACGUUCCCGGGCCUC